GCUAGAGUAGCUUAAUGAAAAAGCUUGGCGUUGAAAAUGCCAGAUCAAAGGUUAGACUCCUUUCUCUAACA
rnacentral:tRNA from 1 species